rnacentral:tRNA from 1 species
AUCUUUAGCUCAGUUGGUUAGAGCAAUCGGCUCAUAACCGAUCGGUCAUAGGUUCGAGUCCUAUAAGAUCC